rnacentral:rRNA from 1 species
CUUUUGGCGGUGGUGGAUGGGCCCGCGGCCUAUCAGCUUGUUGGUAGGUAAUGGCCUACCAAGGCGACGACGGGUAGCCGGCCUGAGAGGGUGACCGGCCACACUGGGACUGAGAUACGGCCCAGACUCCUACGGGAGGCAGCAGUGGGGAAUAUUGCACAAUGGGCGCAAGCCUGAUGCAGCGACGCCGCGUGAGGGAUGACGGCCUUCGGGUUGUAAACCUCUUUCAAUAGGGACGAAGCGCAAGUGACGGUACCUAUAGAAGAAGGACCGGCCAACUACGUG